AUUGAACGCUGGCGGCAGGCCUAACACAUGCAAGUCGAGCGGUAGCACAGGGAGCUUGCUCCUGGGUGACGAGCGGCGGACGGGUGAGUAGUGUCUGGGAAACUGCCUGAUGGAGGGGGAUAACUACUGGAAACGGUAGCUAAUACCGCAUAACGUCGCAAGACCAAAGAGGGGGACCUUCGGGCCUCUUGCCAUCAGAUGUGCCCAGAUGGGAUUAGCUAGUAGGUGGGGUAACGGCUCACCUAGGCGACGAUCCCUAGCUGGUCCGAGAGGAGGACCAGCCACAAUGGAACUGAGACACGGGCAAGACUCCUACGGGAGGCAGCAGGGGGGAAUAUUGCACAAUGGGCGCAAGCCUGAUGCAGCCAUGCCGCGUGUAUGAAGAAGGCCUUCGGGUUGUAAAGUACUUCCAGCGGGGAGGAAGGUGUUGAGGUUAAUAACCUCAGCAAUUGACGUUACCCGCAGAAGAAGCACCGGCUAACUCCGUGCCAGCAGCCGCCGUAA
rnacentral:rRNA from 1 species